AUAUAUUAUUUAAUAAAAAGAAAUGCACAGAAACAAGAAUUUCAAAACCUCAAGAAACAAAUAUAAAUUAUAGAAAUUAACAUGCAAUUGAUACACCUCUGGAAAGGAAAAAUACUAUUUACUACAAACAGAUUUGUCUUUAACAUCAAGUAAUAUUUUACUUUUCAUUCAAGAAAACAGAAAUAGGAUGGUACCUAGAACUCAUGCAUUACUUUCAAUUAGGGUGCACUGCACUCCCUCACACCAGCCAACUGCACUGAAAUUCCCUGUGUGGUUUGAGGCAGUUCACAGAGUUCUCGAGCUACAAGCUUCCUGACGAUUUAGACCAGAAGAUUUUGUUGUGGUCUUUUCUCACUGUAUCUAAAAUGAACAGAUAUUAACACUGACCUGUUAGGAAGAGAGGACAUGCUGUAUGGACCCUUUCAGAAUACAGAUGUGAUGUGUUCACCUGUUAGGUAAAUGCUUCCCCAGCACCCUAUGUUUGGCACUCUUCUCAUUAUAAUAAAGUCAUUAUUGUCUGUUGAACUUUAAGCUAAAACAAGAAGAGAUUGUGUCUUAUCACGUGACUUGACCCAAUGCUGGGGACACCAGUCCACCAACAGCCCCCAGGGCUUACUUAAAACCUGAGGCUGGGCUCUGCUGCCCAAUGACAUAGGAGCAAAUCUUACCAGGAUGCCACAUUCUUUGUGCCAUAAUUCACAUAGGAAAAGAGGUAGGGCUAGUGAGGACAAAAAUGCCAGAAAAUCACGUUUCUGUUCGCAUUUUAUUUCUUGCAUUUCUUGCUUGUCAGUAUGUCUUUCAGAAUCAAAGAGGGAGAAACCAAUUAAAAUAGCACAUUUAGGAUUAAAUUUCUCCUGGUAGAAUGCCAAGCUGAUUACCAAAGGUCACUAUUUUAGCGUUUCAUGGGUGCCUUUUUUUUUAAUCCUCCUACGCUGACUUUUUUUUUUUUAUCAUUUUCAAUACCUAUUUAAGUAAUUCAGCCCACUCAAUUAUUCUUUAACAAAUUUUUUAUCGAUGACCUCUCUCCAGCAUGGUAUGCAGGUUGCCUGCUAUUAGCUUAAUGUCAUACAAUUAAUAUCUUCUCGGUAUUCCUUCUCCAUUCAACAAGUCACGCUGGUAAGGGCCAACCUAUCUUUUAAAGGUAAACCUUGUCCAGUUCAACACAAGAAUGAAAUCACUAUAGAUCUAUUAUUUCUCGGAACAGAAUAUUCCCAUUUGCAUAAAAUAUUCUUCCUUUGAUAAGUUGCCAGGAAGCAACACCUCACGCCCAUUCUUCAUGGCGUUCUUUCUAUGGCAUUAAGAAUAGAAGAAAUUACCAUGGUGGCCUUAACACUAUUAUUCUCUCCCCUUGCUCCUCCUGGCCUCUUCUGAUUUACAGAAUCAUGCCUCUUUGAGAGCUCUGUCACUGAAUUGCCCAGAUAAUGGACAAAGGGGAACCUCUUACAUAAUGUAAUUUCACACUCAGGAAACCGGUUCAUAGGUUGGAAUAUUAGGGUCAGAGGCAGAGCCUAUAACCAUUGGUUUGGUUGAGAAAUAAUGGCCAGAGUCAAAAUUUAAAUAAAAUUUAAAUCUGAACAAGUCAAAUGAUCUACACGCCGUAGGGACCAGGGUAGGUAGGAGACCAAUAAUGUGCUUAAAUACCAAGGAGAAAAACAAGUUGCCACUCUUGGGGGGCAUGCUAUACUAUGAAAAAUAAUGCAACUGGUAGAAGAACAAGUGUCUUUUUUCAAAAUGUAAGUGUGUGACAUGAUGCUUUUAGGGAAACUAGUUCUGGUCCACAAGGAAAUGGGAGCGUUUUCCAUUUAGGAAUAAAGACUUCUAUUAAUAGGCAAGUGUGAUGGUUCAUCUUGUGUGUUAACUUGACUGAGCCACAGAGUGCCCAGCUAUCUGUUGACACAGCAUGCCGGUUGUGCCAGCAAAGGUGUUUCUAGAUGAGGUCAGCAUUUGAAUUGCAGACUGUGUCAAGCAGAUGGCCCUCCAUCAUGUGGGUGAGCCUUAUCCAAUCAGCUGAAGGCCAGAGUAGAACAGAAGGCUGACCUCGCCCCAGGCAAAGGAAACUUCUCUGGCCUGACUGCCUUCAGAUGCUGACAUCAGCUUUUUUCUGCCUCUGCACUCAAGUGGAAAUACCAGUUUCCUGGGUCUUAGGCCUCAGGACUAAAACUAAACCAUCAGCAGUCCUGGGUCUCCAGGGUGCUGCCCACUGAUACUGGGACUUGUCACCCUUCAUAAUCACGUGAGUCAUUUCAUUACAAUAAAGUUCUUGACAGAGAGCUACAUAUAUACCUAUGUACACAUCUACACAUUAUUUACUUCUAUAUACAUAUAUCCAGAUGAACUUGAACAACACCAGGACUGGGCUGUGACCCUCUUGUAGCCAAAACUCUGUGAAUAAUUUACGAUCACCCCUCUGAAUGCAAGCUUCCACAUCCUCAGAUCCUAGAGAUGUACAGAUAGACAAAUACAUAACUCUCUAUCGAAGGUUUAUUAUAAUGAAAUGACUCAUAUGAUUACAGAGGGUAACAAGUCCCAGGACCAUGCAUUUCAGACCCAUGUCAUUGAAGGGUCAGCUGUAGUUGGUUUCGUUUGUGGUUUUUCUAGAGACCAGGGAUUUCUCUUUGGUUGGCUCACUGUUCUAUCCCUGGCAACUAGGAUAGGAUGAGUCAAAUAAUAAAUGAACAAAUAAAUGAAAGAAAGGAUAGUCUGGGAACCAGAGAGGUUAAAUGAAUAGUCCUUAUCUAGGACGAAUCCAGGUCUUUCUGACUCCAGAGUCCAUAUUCCGGGAGCAGUUCUGUCCUCUGAGUUGCAGUCCAGCUGUCUCUCAAGUCAAUACCCCCACCAAGGAAUUCCUGGCAGAACAGAGUUGCUCCUGAAAGAGCAAAGCCUUGGGAUCCUGCUUUCUUGUCUCUGAACCCACCUGUGAUAAAACCAUUCCCCUUCUAGAAUCAACAUUUCUAGGGGUUAAUAAAAACAAAAAUUAUCAUCUGACAGCUGAUAAUGUUUGUCUAAAUGCUUGUGAAAUGUCACAAAACACACAUACAAUCUAAUGCCAGAGUUGGAAAAGAUCUGAGAGAUUAUUUUAGUCCAAACCCUCAUUUAGCUGAUAUGAUGUGUGGUCCUUCCUCCUUCAAUUGUGCUGAAUGAAAUGCAGAUGAACAUUUGAUGCCCACUUUUUUUUCUCUCAGAUUCAUAAGGCUUUUUCAUUUGUCUUCCAAAAGAAGGGGUGAGCGUGUCCUACAUCAAAUAUUCCUGCAUUCUCUGUGUCCUAGAGGGAAAGAUGAAGAACACUUACCUACAGGCAUAGGCACACCAAGUGUGUCCUUUGAAGGGCCUGUACUUAAUCCUGUACAACCCCUCUGAUGCCCAAGGAAGAAUGUUAGAAUAGCCGGCCCUGUGGUCCAGCCGGUCCUGAGACAGAGCACCGCUUCUCAGCGUGGUAUCCAGCCCGUGGAAGCCGUCAGGAAGGGAUGCCGUGUGACUCUGGAUGAGAGCUGGGCUGUCAACACAAGGCUGGGAAGGCCAGCGAGGCCACAGGCAGUUGCCAAAUUUGUUGUUAGAAAUAUUUAGAUUCUAUAUUUAAUAUUUGGAGCUCACCAUCCCUGCCUCCCAUGCACGUAGAGAAGCAGAGAUUCCAACAGACGGGAGGGUGGGUCGGUCCCUUUUAAAAAUCUGGCCGGCUUGGCUAUAAACGCCUGGCAAGCCGGAGCCUUCCUAGGAGCCAGGCCCCCGUCCAAGCCGCAUCCAUCCUCACUGCUGCCUGCCAGCCAGUUAGCAGGCGCAGAGGAGCCAGGAUUUAAGUGCAGUCUGUUCGCCCGCGAUGAGUCCUGGACCCCACGCUGCAGCCCU
rnacentral:lncRNA from 1 species